rnacentral:misc_RNA from 1 species
GAACUGCGAUAAGUAAUGUGAAUUGCAGAAUUCAGUGAAUCAUCGAGUCUUUGAACGCACAUUGCGCCCCCUGGCAUUCCGGGGGGCAUGCCUGUCCGAGCGACAUUGCUGCCCUUCAAGCCCGGCUUGUGUGUUGGGUCGUCGUCCCCUCCGGGGGACGGGCCCGAAAGGCAGCGGCGGCACCGCGUCCGGUCCUCGAGCGUAUGGGGCUUUGUCACCCGCUCGAUAAGGACCGGCCGGGCGCCAGCCGGCGUCUCCAACCUUUUUUUCUCAGGUUGACCUCGGAUCAGGUAGGGAUACCCGCUGAACUUAAGC